CAGAAGUUUGGAAAGGACGAGGUGAUCCAUCCUCAUCUUUCGUCAGCACAGAAUCUACCGAGAACAAUCUUCAAGUCAGCCAUGGAGCAGAAGACAAAUGAGUGUCCCGCCACCACCUCUCCCCAGAAGCACAUGAAGAACCGGUCCAAGUCCACAGAGGAGGUGCAACAGUCGAAGAAGACCUUUUCCUCACAAAAAUCACUCCCAGGCAGACCGGAGCUGGAGAAAGUGAAGGAGUGUCCCGACAACUCUGACACGCCCUCGUCCUCCACUGAAGAGCUGAAGUGAUGAAAAGCAGAACUGACCGGACAAUGAAGUCGGCACCAACAUGUAAUGUCGUGACAACUUAAAAACGCAUAAAAGUGUACAUCUGGUCACAAGUAAACACACAAAACAUUAGGUAUGAUCAAAUUGAAUAUGAAAUCUGAUUUAUGAAGCAUUAGUUGUUGUAUUGAAACUGCCAUACAUCC